GCCCGACAGCAGCAGCAUCUGAAAAGGGAAGAGAAAGGGAAGGAGGAAGAGGAGAAGAAGAAGGAACAGGGGAAGAAGAUGCAGAAGGAAGAGGAGAAGAAGAAGAAGAAGAACUCAGCUGUCCGGCAGUAGGAAAAUGGAAGGUAGCACUUGGAAGUGCUGCAUACAUUACAGAAAGUACCAUCCAUACACAGUGUUGCAGCAGUAGACAGCUUUAUGAGAUUAUGUGGGUUUGAUCAAUUAUGAGUUCAAUUAAAUCUUGUGCCUCUUUUA